rnacentral:rRNA from 1 species
GACGAACCGUGCGAACGUUGUUCGGAAUCACUGGGCUUAAAGGGCGCGUAGGUGGUCUGUCAAGUCAAGGGUGAAAUCUUUCGGCUCAACCGGAAAACUGCCUUCGAUACUGGCAGGCUAGAGGGAGAUAGGGGUUGCGGGAACUACCAGUGGAGCGGUGAAAUGCGUUGAUAUUGGUAGGAACGCCGGUGGCGAAAGCGCGCAACUGGACCUCUUCUGACACUGAGGCGCGAAAGCUAGGGGAGCGAACAGG